GUAUAUUACCUGUUCUCUCUCUCUCUGUCCCCUCAGCAUCACAGACCAACAGCACAGACAGUGUCCGUAGUCACCCCGUCAUCGAGCUUCAGGACCUCCAGAUACAUUCACUGAUCCUCUUCCUGGGUGGACCAGGACUUUAACAACACAGUCUGAUAUAAAAUCAUCUUCUUCAUCUCUCUGAAGAGGAGAUCUCAACACGUCAGGAGGACCAGGAGACCUGAAGA